rnacentral:tRNA from 2 species
CCACCCUUCCUAUACUA